CAUUACUGAUACAAUGAGCAGCACAGAAGCAAUGAUAUGUUAAAGUGUGACUUUUUUUCUGUACUUUUUAUUCUGUUAAAAUAUCUCUUUUUAUCCUGUUAGGUGAUCACAAAGGCCACCCAAGAGACAAAGAAUGUAUUUGGAUCCCAGCAGCAUUGCUUGUUGCCUGGAGUGAAGCUAUGUAAGCCCUUAGGAGAUGCUGAUGUUCUAACAGACAGGAGGGAUCCCAGUGAGGCUGAGCAACAGAAGCCAGUCUCUGCCAGGGAAAACACAGAGCCUGUGAGGAGCAGUGCAGGUUCCAGCAAACAAGGUGAAAGCCAUAUCCCACCAGUUCUCCGUCACAGAAAGGGGGCUCAUUGCCCUGAGUCAGUGGACAGUCGGAGAGCUGUAACUACAAAAGCUGACGGCGAUGACUCUGAUUUUUGGUGGAGGGAGAACUGGGAGCUACGUGUGCUGCUGCUGCUAUGGUUACUGCUCUACUGUUUCUGGGUGUUGCCUCAGAUCGACCUGAAGACACUGCCCAACAUGCUGCUGAACCGCUGAACACACACACACACACACACACACACACACACACAUGCACAAGCACAGCUUCUCUGAGCUAUGAGGAAAAAUAAAAAACUUUAAGUUUUUUAACAUGCACAUGCUCACACAGCCAACUGCCACAUUUUAAUGAAGAUAUUUAAAACAUGUAUAAUUUCAAACUUACAAGAGCUGGUUUUCUAUGUUUUGGUUUUUGGCUUCUAGUGUGGCUUGAAUCAGUCUAUGUGAGAGUGUAAAGGUCACUGGGGGAGGAAAAACAUUGCAGUCUUUUUAGAAAAAGAUCAUGCUUUUAUGAAAAUAAAGUUACAAAUUUAAGGAUAAAAAUAACCAAACCCGAUUCUGAAAAAGAUUGGACACUGUGUAAAAUGUAAGAAAAAAACCUUAACAGAAUUCUGUGAUCAGACAAACCAAUUUGAAAUUCUUCUUGGAAUGAAGAGGAGCUUGUUAUCAGCACUCAGUUCAAAAACCAGCAUCUUUGAUGGUAUGGGGCUGCAUUAGUGGCUAUGGAACUAGCAGCUGGCACAUCUGGAAAGACACAAUCAAUGCUACAAGGUCUAUAUACAUUUAAGAGAAACUAGCCAAAGACAUUAUCCUUUGGAUGGAUGCUCUCAUCCAAAGAUGACCAAGGACCGUUGAGCAGCUACAAUCCCAUGUAAGACAAGAAUGGGCCAAUAUUCCACUCCUAAAAGUCCAACUGCUGGGCCAUGUUCCAGGAAGCAUGUUGAAAAAUAACAGAGAUGGGCAAUUCAGAGUUUCUUGUUCUGGAACAGCUGAUUGGAGUUAGGUCAAUCAACUCUGAAUGUGGUCACCCUGAGAUAUGCGCAUGCAUGGCCAGGGAAAGAAAACCAUCAUUAAUGGAGCUCUGAUACUAUUAUUCACCACAGAAUAUGAACAGAAGGGAAAAAGAGUACUAUUAAUCAGUGUGGGCCACUUUGUCAUCAUCACAGAUAAGUUUGAUAAUAAAAUAUAGCAUUUUUACUGCUAAGCCAUUAAAGGCUGAUGGGUAUUGUCAUCACCCUGUCAGGUCGACAUCCAAUUUCGUGAACACGCGAACGAGGUAACGAAGGAUUUUUAAAUUAAUACAUAGGUACAUCUGUUAGAAGAUUCUGGGGUAGCAGUGGCGGUAUAGUUUUUAUAACGCCUGCUGGCAUCAUGCACCCAACUAUUUUUUUAGAUGAAGCUAGAAUCCUAAUUUGAUUUGAUAUCUAAAUUUAAUUAUUCACUUCUAACCUAAGAACGACAAAAUGUAGGUGAAAAAAGCGAAGAUAAAAAUGUCAGAUCUGAAUCCAUGAUCUGUUUUGGAUAAGUGGACUCUGACACGGUUUGCUGAUCUUUUGCAGAGCCUAUGAUCUCAGCAAUUAAGGUUCCAGGUUGACUCGACACUAAUUUAGCUGCUUUUCAGUGUAAAAUGUGUCAAGGCUCAGACUCUGAAAUUCAGAUACCAAAAUGUUGUUUGACAUAAUUCAUAAUAAUAAUGACUUCAUCUCAGUCUGUGAACACAAUGUAAAUGCUCAGAACCUGCAGAUAGUCCAUGUUUAAGAACAACUCUAAAAUAUAUGGAGUUCAGUUUGAGUGUCAAUGUCGUGAUAUGUUGUGCGGCAGGCAGGGCUUGGACCCGAUAUGCAGGACCCUGGAGACAAAAGGGUAAACUCAAAAGGAUGUUUACUCCUGGAUGUCAAGGAGACAAAGCUGGGCUCAAGGCAGAAUUGCAAAAGUAGGAGACAAAAGAGAAAAAACAGAACGUGGGAGCAUGGACAAUAAAACAUGAACUGAAGAAAACUGAGACAACUGACUGGCAAAAUCAGACAGGAAGUCAUGAAAACACCUGCACUGAGGGAACAGGGAAGGCUAGGAAGAAUAAGUAUAAACCAAAUCACCAAAACCAGAAUGAUAAUAAAAGAUAGACAUUAAUUGAAACGUGUUUAUUAAAUUAUAAACAAAAACCCAGAAACUUCAGGACAUAAUCCAAACAUAAUUACAAUAACACAAAAAAAUAGAUUUAAAAAAAUUAACUGAGGAAAAAGAACAACAAACUGAAAACACUGACUCCAGGAACCAUGACACUUAAAGUCAUCUCAGCCCCACCUAGUGUUCGCGCAAAUAUUUACAUCAGCUCCAAGAUCCAGAUGUGACACGUUUUUCGUCACUGUGACAGCUGAUAAUAUUUCCAGUGUGCAACACACAGUAAAUGUUUUCAGGAAACUGGCUGACAGCCUGACAGCAUUAUUGUCAAGGACUUAGAAAGAUGGAGAGUAUAGAUAUGACUUUGAGUUUGUUAACCCUGAGAUGAGGGAAACUUUAUUAUCAACUCAGUUUUAGUUAAGCCUUCUUCCCAGAUGCUCAUAGUGUUUAUACAAGCUGCCAUCAAAUUCAAGAUGACCUAAUAAUUUUCUUAAAUAAUCCCAAGUUUAAACAUUUAUUAUUUUUUCAGUUUUUUUAAAUUGUGAAUAAAAUAUGGGUUUAUGAGAUUUGCAAAUCAUUGCAUUCUGUUUUUAAACACAUUUUGCACAGGAACCAAAAAAAGCUACAUUUCAAACACACACAGUAUCUUUGACUUUUACAUGACUGUAAAAGAUCCUGCAACUUUAUUCUUGAAAUUUCAGUGCACUCAUAUUAAUUAAUAUUAAAAUAAAUGUAUCAACUUUUACGAAAAGGGGGUUAUAGAAUAAAAGUUUUAAUAGAAAAAUAAAGGCUUUUUUGUUUUGUACAAAUAAGUCCUAUUUAUAAAGGCUUAAGAAUAAAGCUGCAGUUGUGCAAGUAAAACUGUAACAACAUCUAUGUAGGUAUAUGGUACAAUGCAUUUUUAAAUACACUUAUCAGACAUUUGUUUUUAAGGCUUUAUGCAUUUCAGAUGUCUAAUGUAUCAAAACAUUAGAUACUAUUUAAAAAUCAUUAAAUUAUUACAUUAAAACACAUAGUCGCCAUACAUUAAUUGUGUUGCUGUAGCCUGUCCUGCCUGGGGCACAUCCACAGUUAGUGCAUUGUAAUGUACAUCUCCACAGAUGAGUCCAUGCAAUCAGAAAAACUUGACAGGCUUGGAGAUGUCCUCAUGAACUCGUGCACUCACUGUCCAGUGAGAAAAAUGUCACUUGAACCCAAGCAGGCCCUGCUACAUUAAUGUGACUUUUUGUCCACCACUGCUAUAUAGACCUUGUCACAUAUUAUUAGAAACCUUUAGUCAGGUGUCAAGCUCCAUAACAGCAUUAUGCUGAUUUGCAUCAUAGACAUGAUGACCUUAAUAAACAAGGU
ensembl:lncRNA